GAGAUUGGAGUGCGAGGAUGAGAUCCGGAUCACCAAUCUCGAGAACCGGGAAAGCCGGGAAUCUCUGUGCCCGAUACUAGAUCCACCUCGUCCACUGCGGUACGUAAAUUCCCCAUCGCGGCGGAACGGCGAUGCCCUCUCGGCGCCGCUCUUAUUCCAUCUCCCGUCAUUCCAGCGGCCCUUUUCGCGCCUUCCGUAUCUCCUCCCUCGCCCCGCCUCCCGCCCAGCCCCACACUGCGACUCUGCGACGAACGACGUGGCCACUGGUGGGAUGACUUCAUAUUGUGAUGGCGGGCACGACACGCUGCGACGGUGCACGACGUGCGCUGGCGGGUGAUCUGAGACAAGAUGGGAUAUGGCAGUUGGGCGCCGGUGCCUGAUACGGAUGGCAGUCGCUGGGGGCCUAAUAAUAUCGAUCUGGAUACGGUAGAUCAGCCUCUUCUUCGGAUCUUACCUGCUCCCUUUCGGUCCCUCGUGGCGUCAACCAUGCGUCCGAUCCCCGCUUUG
rnacentral:lncRNA from 1 species